rnacentral:rRNA from 1 species
GACGGAGGGUGCAAGCGUUAUUCGGAAUCAUUGGGCGUAAAGAGUGUGUAGGCGGCCGGUUAAGUCAGGUGUGAAAGCCCAGGGCUCAACCCUGGAAGUGCACUUGAAACUGGUCGGCUUGAGUUCGGGAGAGGGUAGCGGAAUUCCUGGUGUAGAGGUGAAAUUCGUAGAGAUCAGGAGGAACACCGGUGGCGAAGGCGGCUACCUGGACCGAAACUGACGAUGAGACACGAAAGAGUGGGGAGCAAACAGG